rnacentral:rRNA from 1 species
AUUGAACGCUGGUGGCAGGCCUAACACAUGCAAGUCGAGCGGAGCGGGGGACGGGUGAGUAAUGCCUAGGUCUCUGACUGGUCGUGAGGGAUAAGGUCCAGAAACGGGCGCUAAUACCGCAUACUAUUAGAAGCGGCUAGGCCGGGUUAGCUAGUGGGUGGGGUAAAGGCCUACCAAGGCCACGAUCCGUAACUGGUCUGAGAGGAUGAUCAGUCACACUGGAACUGAGACACGGUCCAGACUCCUACGGGAGGCAGCAGUGGGGAAUAUUGUACAAUGGGCGAAAGCCUGAUCCAGCCAUGCCGCGUGUGUGAAGAAGGUCUUCGGAUUGUAAAGUACUUUAAGUUGGGAGGCGUUACCAACAGAAUAAGCACCGGCUAACUCCGUGCCAGCAGCCGCGGUAAUUC